rnacentral:rRNA from 1 species
GAAGUGAAAUCCAUGGGCUCAGCCCAUGAACUGCUUUCAAAAUAUUUUUCUUGAGUAGUGCAGAGGUAGGCGGAAUUCCCCGUGUAGCGGUGGAAUGCGUAGAUAUCGGGAGGAUCAUCAGUGGCGAAGGCGGCCUACUGGGCACCAACUGACGCUGAGGCUCGAAAGUGUGGGUAGCAAACAGGAUUAGAUACCCUGGUAGUCCACACCGUAAACGAUGAUUACUAGGUGUUGGAGGAUUGACCCCUUCAGUGCCGCAGUUAACACAAUAAGUAAUCCACCUGGGGAGUACGACCGCAAGGUUGAAACUCAAAGGAAUUGACGGGGGCCCGCACAAGCAGUGGAGUAUGUGGUUUAAUUCGACGCAACGCGAAGAACCUUACCAAGUCUUGACAUCCUGCGACGCACAUAGAUAUAUGUGUUUCCUUCGGGACGCAGAGACAGGUGGUGCAUGGUUGUCGUCAGCUCGUGUCGUGAGAUGUUGGGUUAAGUCCCGCAACGAGCGCAACCCUUAUGGUCAGUUACUACGCAAGAGGACUCUGGCCAGACUGCCGUUGACAAAACGGAGGAAGGUGGGGAUGACGUCAAAUCAUCAUGCCCUUUAUGACUUGGGCUACACACGUACUACAAUGGCGUUAAACAAAGAGAAGCAAGACCGCGAGGUGGAGCAAAACUCAGAAACAACGUCCCAGUUCGGACUGCAGGCUGCAACUCGCCUGCACGAAGUCGGAAUUGCUAGUAAUCGUGGAUCAGCAUGCCACGGUGAAUACGUUCCCGGGCCUUGUACACACCGCCCGUCACACCAUGAGAGCCGGGGGGACCCGAAGUCGGUAGUCUAACCGCAAGGAGGACGCCGCCGAAGGUAAAACUGGUGAUUGGGGUGAAGUCGUAACAAGGUAGCCGUAGGAGAACCUGCGGCUG